rnacentral:snRNA from 1 species
AUACUUACCUGGUGCCGGGGCCUCAUUGAUCACCAAGGACGAGCCACGUAGGGCAAGGCGCGGGCAUUGCACUGCGCUCGCGUUGACCCCUGCCACUCCCCAAAACAGGGGCAGAUGGGGCAUGCAAAUUUAUC